CUGCCAUCCCCGAAUCCCAAGAUUGACAAGCCAUGUCUUUGUUUUGGAAAGAAUCCAGAUGCUUUUGGUGGUGGGAGGGGCAGAAGUUGCAGCAUAUAGAGGGUGCCAUGCAUUGAGUGGCUUCUGGCUGCGUCAGCACAAGGAGUUAGGGGUCACUACAACCAUAAGGAGAAUAGCCAACUGUUACUGAGAGUUCACUAUGUGCCAGACACCAUGCUGCUGAAAAAUGUCUUCUAGCCUGAGUACUCUCUGUCUAGAUGAAGAAGAAACAAUAGCAGUUAGUAUGGGAUCACUUUAGGACUCCCUUGGUUGGAGAAGCAAUGCAAUGGCCUCCAUAAUAAGUCUCUUCUGAA